CGGUACAUGAAAGGAAGCUUGUGAAGCAGAUCUUGUGUAAUACGAAUGAACAUUAGUCUGCUUGGUGAAAUAUCCUACGAAUGCGGUUGGAAGUUUGCCGUCAAAGUACUGGUGCAUAAGUUUCAAUAUCUCAAAUUUAUGGACAUGGCAAAGUUUCAUUAUUUUUAACCUGUGAUACAAUGGGUCAAGUCUGGAUCGUAAAGGUGCAUUGCCUAUUGCUCGGAUUGAUUUAUUUUGCAGUACCUCUAAUCUGUGAAGGAGUGUGGAAGAUGCGUUUCCCCAAGCUACGAUACCAUAUUGAAGAUAUGAUUGAAAGAGAGAAAAAUAAAUUAAUCGCAUAGCUGAUGGGAGUUCAUGUGUAUUUGCAAGUCAUUUGGCGAGACUGAACUUCCAAAUAACCCGGUAUCGUCAGCGAAGAGUUUGACCAAUAAUCUGGUGGCAUGAGGAAGAUCGUUGACGAAUAAUACGAACAAUAAUGGGCCAAUUAUUGUGCCCUGGGGAAUUCCGCAUUGUACAGUUGCAAGUUCGGAGCAAUUUGAUCCUAUUUUGACAUAUUGUUGACGCGAAUAUAAAUAGCUCUGGAAGAAUUUUGAUGCAUCAUUAGAAUGGGGAAUAUUUUCAGACAGUUUUGGGCCUAUGGUGGUGAAAUAAUUGUUAAGGUAAUUGGCAAUACAAAUUGGAUCACAUACUUUAGUUCCAUUGUCAAUUUUUAGCUCUUUGAUCGAACAUUUUUUUUCUUGUCUGAUAUUAGCUAAAUGACCAAUCAAUUUCCAGGUGGAUUUGAUGUCACCACGAAUGUGUUUGAAUUUUCUGAAGUAAUACGAUUUUUUUGCGUUACUUAUUACGAUUUUAAGUAAAUUGUUAUAAACUUUGUAUAAAUUAUGUUGGGUAUUGCUACCAUUUUUAAAGUGCGUUUUAUACAUUUUACGUUUUUUCCUAAUGGAGACAUGAAUACCUUUCGUGAGCCACGGUUUGGCUAGAAGUUUCGAUUCGCGCCGACUUAAUGGUUUCAUGGGUGCGUGUGCAUCAAUAGUUGUUUGAAUUGUUUCUGUGAAUAUUUCAAAUAAAGUGUUUAAGUUAUCA